rnacentral:rRNA from 1 species
UACGUAGGGGGCGAGCGUUGUCCGGAUUCAUUGGGCGUAAAGAGCGUGUAGGCGGCCAGGUAGGUCCGGUGUGAAAACUCGAGGCUUAACCUCGAGAUGUCAUCGGAAACCAUCUGGCUAGAGUCCGGAAGAGGAAAGUGGAAUUCCUGGUGUAGCGGUGAAAUGCGCAGAUAUCAGGAAGAACACCAAUGGCGAAAGCAGCUUUCUGGGACGGUACUGACGCUGAGACGCGAAAGCGUGGGGAGCGAACAGG